rnacentral:tRNA from 1 species
GGACUAGUAGCUCAGUGUGAGAGCCGCCCUCGGUUGAAGGGUCGGGACGCGAGGUUAAAAUCCUCGCCUAGUUCA